rnacentral:lncRNA from 1 species
UUUAUUUGCUUCUAAGUGAGGACACAAAACUAUUUCAAAAGGGUCAUGGGUCAUGCCUCGUGCUCUACUAGUGGUUACAAUGAAAAGGUUAUAGCUGUACAAAGUCGCUUUCUCCUCUACGUGCUGCUUCCUCUUGAAUUAUAUUAAUUAUUGCUUUCUAUAUAUGUGUGACAUAAUUUGUUUUCUUCACCAAGAAACAUUU